CUUGGCUCUACUGUGUGCAUUACAUCUGUCACAAGGGAAACAGUGAGGAAGGUCUGAAAAAUGCAAACCAAUGCAGUUAAUACUGGCCAGAGUUAAAGCAACACUUUCAAAGACUCCUUUUAGUAUUGCUUCUGCAAGAGAUUUUUCUGUCCAUGCAGAAUAUAAGCCUAUGGUUAGUAGCAGGACAAAAAAAUAAAUAAAGGAAAUGUUACCUAAAAAUGCCAAUUCAGCACCUAUAUAACCCAACUAUAUUUACACAAUUUAGUCCAGAAAUCAAUAGUGGUGCCACUGAAAUAAUGCACAAAUUCGUAUCUUCAAAACUAGUUUUCAUAAUAAUAGCUUCAUUAUGUUCCAGAAGAGAAUGAUAACAAACUGCAGAAUGAAAACUGAGAUGGAAGUGAGGGAAGAAAACAUCCAGCCAAAGGAAAAGGAAAAAGUAUGGCCAUAACAGCACACUACAGAAGUCUUGCAUACUCUGCUUAACGCAGAUCUGUUGACCUUCAGAAAGGCUUCUUGCUUAAGUAAGAUUCAGGAGGUAAAAGUGAGAGAGUGAUAGUUUUGCAUUGGCUGUAUCCAAUUCCUUGCCUGAUAAAGGAGCAAAUAAAGUAGACAGUGCAGUCCUCAAAAGAAUUCACAUCACUUAUUUUAUAACCAGCCUCUUACUUGCUGCUAGCUUUGAUUUCAUCUGGGAGCCUCCCUGCUGACUUGAGAAACAUGGGAACUGAGAACAUUAAGAUCACCUGCCAUAUUUUAUAGAGUUGUGUUGAAGAACAUCUGGUCCAGCCCACUUCUGUGCUGUAAACAUUAUCAUUAACCUCAGGUGUGAAUGGCCACUUGCCAGCUGCUGAGAGGAAACAUGUGCUCCUCUUGCUGAUGUGAAGCUUGAGGACUUCAAAAGGAAGAUCACUCCUAACAUGGAGGUAACCAGUGUCUCACAUCUGGCCAUCCACUAUCAUACCUCAGAUAUGGCAGCCCUCCCUGCUUGUUCUGAACAGAGACUUCCAUUUCUGUUAGUAGAAAACUUUCCACAACGUCAGUUGUGUGAUAACAUCAUUAUCUUUCACCAACAAUAAAAGGUUUGAUGAAGCUGUUAUAAUUUAUAAGAAAUCUGCUGGUUAUUCCUCCACAUCUAAUUUAUUAUUAAUAUAUGAGGAAAUGAGUAACUACGUAUCUUGUCAAACCUGACUUUGUAAAAAAUAAAAAUAAAUUACUUAAAACUUAGCAAAGAAUUUUAGACUUUAUUUAAUAUUGUAAAAAAUAAUAAUAAUAAUAACAGAAGGAAGCAAAUCACAUGAUUUAGUUAGGCCCUUCCUGAUGACAUUCUGCUUUACUUUCC
rnacentral:lncRNA from 1 species